AGCACCACGUCAGUCGAACCUCAUGAGUGUGCGAUUAUUUUGCAGCUCUUUUCACGCUCUUCUAAAUGAUAUAAGAGUGAUGCCCGUUAGAUUACAAUAAACACAUGAGAAAUAUGACAAAAGUGAGUCGCACGAAACUCACCGCCAUUUUUAUUUCAUUUGGAAAUAUCUAAAGAAAUAUGGAAGAUAUCCAGAAGAGAGUUGAACUAGACCAAAGGAGUUCCUCUAGAAAAUGGUAUAAGAUACAGCAGAAGUAUUCUCCAAGCAACUUUUGAUUUUCUUCUAUCUUAGGAGUUUCUGAAAAUUAGACCAAAGGAGUUCCUCUAGAAAAUGGUAUAAGAUACAGCAGGAGUAUUCUCCAAGCAACUUUUGAUUUUCUUCUAUCUUAUGUGAAUGUCCAUAAGAUCCAUGUAUUACAUUGUUACUUAUACGAAUGAAAUGAUAGCAUAUAACUGGUAUAUGUGAAAUUUCAUUGCAGGAGUUUCUGAAAAUUCAAUUCGUUAUGGUGCCGAUUGGCAAGGUAUUCUCACAGAAAUUAAUGCAAUAUUAAUCAUCUACGGAAUAAUCAGUAAGGGCUUCACUGAAGUUUAGGUCUCAUGAUGCUCGAAUUCUGAGCGUUGAACGCUCAAUAAUAAAAGAAUACUUUUCACCAGUAAAAAGUACUGAGCACCAGUGCGUAAAAUACUUUUUCAAUGUAAAAUUACACUGGAAAUACAUUAUCGUCGCAUUUUAA